GGGCCCGCACAAGCAGUGGAUUAUGUGGUUUAAUUCGAAGCAACGCGAAGAACCUUACCAGGUCUUGACAUCCAACCAACGAAGCAGAGAUGCAUCAGGUGCCCUUCGGGGAAAGUUGAGACAGGUGGUGCAUGGUUGUCGUCAGCUCGUGUCGUGAGAUGUUGGGUUAAGUCCCGCAACGAGCGCAACCCUUGCCAUUAGUUGCUACGCAAGAGCACUCUAAUGGGACCGCUACCGACAAGGUGGAGGAAGGUGGGGACGACGUCAAAUCAUCAUGCCCCUUAUGACCUGGGCUACACACGUAAUACAAUGGCCGCUAACAACGGGAAGCGAAGGCGCGAGCCGGAGCGAAUCCCCAAAAGCGGUCUCAGUUCGGAUCGCAGGCUGAAACCCGCCUGCGUGAAGUUGGAAUUGCUAGUAAUCGCGGAUCAGCAUGCCGCGGUGAAUACGUUCCCGGGCCUU
rnacentral:rRNA from 1 species